UGGGAUGUAGCUUAGUAGUAGAGCAUUUGCCUACCAAAUGUGAGUCCCUGGGUUCCAUUCCCAGCAUCAAAA
rnacentral:tRNA from 1 species